rnacentral:rRNA from 1 species
UACGUAGGGGGCAAGCGUUGUCCGGAUUUACUGGGCGUAAAGAGCGUGUAGGCGGCCAAGCAGGUCCGUUGUGAAAACUCGAGGCUCAACCUCGAGACGCCGGUGGAAACCAUCUAGCUAGAGUCCGGAAGAGGAGAGUGGAAUUCCUGGUGUAGCGGUGAAAUGCGCAGAUAUCAGGAAGAACACCCGUGGCGAAGGCGGCUCUCUGGGACGUGACUGACGCUGAGACGCGAAAGCGUGGGGAGCGAACAGG